rnacentral:rRNA from 1 species
AGAGUUUGAUCCUGGCUCAGGAUGAACGCUAGCUACAGGCUUAACACAUGCAAGUCGAGGGGCAGCAUGGUCUUAGCUUGCUAAGGCCGAUGGCGACCGGCGCACGGGUGAGUAACACGUAUCCAACCUGCCGUCUACUCUUGGACAGCCUUCUGAAAGGAAGAUUAAUACAAGAUGGCAUCAUGAGUCCGCAUGUUCACAUGAUUAAAGGUAUUCCGGUAGACGAUGGGGAUGCGUUCCAUUAGAUAGUAGGCGGGGUAACGGCCCACCUAGUCUUCGAUGGAUAGGGGUUCUGAGAGGAAGGUCCCCCACAUUGGAACUGAGACACGGUCCAAACUCCUACGGGAGGCAGCAGUGAGGAAUAUUGGUCAAUGGGCGAGAGCCUGAACCAGCCAAGUAGCGUGAAGGAUGACUGCCCUAUGGGUUGUAAACUUCUUUUAUAAAGGAAUAAAGUCGGGUAUGCAUACCCGUUUGCAUGUACUUUAUGAAUAAGGAUCGGCUAACUCCGUGCCAGCAGCCGCGGUAAUACGGAGGAUCCGAGCGUUAUCCGGAUUUAUUGGGUUUAAAGGGAGCGUAGAUGGAUGUUUAAGUCAGUUGUGAAAGUUUGCGGCUCAAUCGUAAAAUUGCAGUUGAUACUGGAUAUCUUGAGUGCAGUUGAGGCAGGCGGAAUUCGUGGUGUAGCGGUGAAAUGCUUAGAUAUCACGAAGAACUCCGAUUGCGAAGGCAGCCUGCUAAGCUGCAACUGACAUUGAGGCUCGAAAGUGUGGGUAUCAAACAGGAUUAGAUACCCUGGUAGUCCACACGGUAAACGAUGAAUACUCGCUGUUUGCGAUAUACGGCAAGCGGCCAAGCGAAAGCGUUAAGUAUUCCACCUGGGGAGUACGCCGGCAACGGUGAAACUCAAAGGAAUUGACGGGGGCCCGCACAAGCGGAGGAACAUGUGGUUUAAUUCGAUGAUACGCGAGGAACCUUACCCGGGCUUAAAUUGCAGAUGAAUUACGGUGAAAGCCGUAAGCCGCAAGGCAUCUGUGAAGGUGCUGCAUGGUUGUCGUCAGCUCGUGCCGUGAGGUGUCGGCUUAAGUGCCAUAACGAGCGCAACCCUUGUUGUCAGUUACUAACAGGUCAUGCUGAGGACUCUGACAAGACUGCCAUCGUAAGAUGUGAGGAAGGUGGGGAUGACGUCAAAUCAGCACGGCCCUUACGUCCGGGGCUACACACGUGUUACAAUGGGGGGUACAGAGGGCCGCUACCACGCGAGUGGAUGCCAAUCCCCAAAACCUCUCUCAGUUCGGACUGGAGUCUGCAACCCGACUCCACGAAGCUGGAUUCGCUAGUAAUCGCGCAUCAGCCACGGCGCGGUGAAUACGUUCCCGGGCCUUGCACUCACCGCCCGUCAAG